GACGAACGCUGGCGGCGUGCCUAAUACAUGCAAGUCGAACGAGAGCGACCGGUGCUUGCACUGGUCAAUCUAGUGGCGAACGGGUGAGUAACACGUGGGUAACCUGCCCAUCAGAGGGGGAUAACAUCCGGAAACGGAUGCUAAAACCGCAUAGGUCUUCGAGCCGCAUGGCUUGAAGAGGAAAAGAGGCGCAAGCUUCUGCUGAUGGAUGGACCCGCGGUGCAUUAGCUAGUUGGUGAGGUAACGGCUCACCAAGGCCGUGAUGCAUAGCCGACCUGAGGGGGUGAUCGGACACAUUGGGACUGAGACACGGCCCAAACUCCGACGGGAGGCAGCAGUAGGGAAUCUUCCGCAAUGGACGCAAGUCUGACGGAGCAACGCCGCGUGAGUGAAGAAGGUUUUCGGAUCGUAAAACUCUGUUGUUAGAGAAGAACAAGUGCUAGAGUAACUGUUAGCGCCUUGACGGUAUCUAACCAGAAAGCCACGGCUAACUACGUG
rnacentral:rRNA from 1 species